rnacentral:misc_RNA from 1 species
CGACUCAUCAUUUUCUUAUUUUUUAUGCAUUGAGAAUGAGAAACAACUCAUCAUUACACUGAGCAUUUUCAGCUUUAUUAUACUGGUAUAAGUGGUCAGGUAGGUCUUCUUAAUAUUUUGUCUCAAAAAGGAUGCCUAAAACUAUAUUCUUGUAAGCGUUUUGUGGAAAAUGUUUUCUGCAUUUUUAAGUGUUUAGGGCACCGAAAAGUAGUCAACUAGAUUAAACUAGUCAAAAUGAAAACUAGCUGAUUUUUAAACUUCUGCAAACUCACAAAAGGAAGGAACCUGUAAGACAACCAAAUAAGUAUAGGCUCUGUAAACUGGUCUCCUUCUAUUCUAGUAGAUUAAAACCAAGUGUUCCAACAUAAAGUCCUCGAAGAUACAGAUGUUCUUAUGGUUUUCUUUAUGUAAGGGGAAUUAUUUUUUUCUUAGUGUGCUCCAAAUGUGGAAAAAAAAAAUUCUUGUUGAUUUUCAAUGUUUUGACCAAAUAAUCGGAAAUAAUUCAUUUGUCAAUAAAUAAUUUCUAAAAAUACACAAGUCACUUUCUAUGAAAUGAAUGGAAUCCUAAAUGAAACAUAUGUUUGUUAUCACCUUCUCUUUUUCAAUACUGCCAUGCACAUGCAUUAAACUGUGUGCUUGUAUCAUUAAUUCACUAUUGAUAACCAUUUUCGGAUUUGAUUUUGGAAGGCAAAUUAUGAAUUAUGUUCAGCUUUCACACUGGCAUAGAUUUAUAUAUGUAUAAAAUUGUGAAAAUUAUCUUUCAG